GAUGAACGCUGGCGGCGUGCCUAAUACAUGCAGGUCGAGCGAACGGACGAGAAGCUUGCUUCUCUGAUGUUAGCGGCGGACGGGUGAGUAACACGUGGAUAACCUACCUAUAAGACUGGGAUAACUUCGGGAAACCGGAGCUAAUACCGGAUGAUAUUUUGAACCGCAUGGUUCAAUAGUGAAAGACGGUCUUGCUGUCACUUAUAGAUGGAUCCGCGCUGCAUUAGCUAGUUGGUAAGGUAACGGCUUACCAAGGCAACGAUGCAUAGCCGACCUGAGAGGGUGAUCGGCCACACUGGAACUGAGACACGGUCCAGACUCCUACGGGAGGCAGCAGUAGGGAAUCUUCCGCAAUGGGCGAAAGCCUGACGGAGCAACGCCGCGUGAGUGAUGAAGGUCUUCGGAUCGUAAAACUCUGUUAUUAGGGAAGAACAUAUGUGUAAGUAACUGUGCACAUCUUGGCGGUACCUAAUCAGAAAGCCACGGCUAACUACGUG
rnacentral:rRNA from 1 species